AUUGAACGCUGGCGGCAGGCCUAACACAUGCAAGUCGAGCGGAUGAAGGGAGCUUGCUCCUGGAUUCAGCGGCGGACGGGUGAGUAAUGCCUAGGAAUCUGCCUGGUAGUGGGGGAUAACGUCCGGAAACGGGCGCUAAUACCGCAUACGUCCUGAGGGAGAAAGUGGGGGAUCUUCGGACCUCACGCUAUCAGAUGAGCCUAGGUCGGAUUAGCUAGUUGGUGGGGUAAAGGCCUACCAAGGCGACGAUCCGUAACUGGUCUGAGAGGAUGAUCAGUCACACGGGGACUGAGACACGGUCCAGACUCCUACGGGAGGCAGCAGUGGGGAAUAUUGGACAAUGGGCGAAAGCCUGAUCCAGCCAUGCCGCGUGUGUGAAGAAGGUCUUCGGAUUGUAAAGCACUUUAAGUUGGGAGGAAGGGCAGUAAGUUAAUACCUUGCUGUUUUGACGUUACCAACAGAAUAAGCACCGGCUAACUUCGUG
rnacentral:rRNA from 1 species